rnacentral:rRNA from 1 species
GACGAACGCUGGCGGCGUGCCUAAUACAUGCAAGUCGAACGCAGUGGGGACAGGUGAGUAACCCGUGGGUCACCUCCCAUCAGAGGGGAUAACCCUUGGAAACAGGUGCUAAACCGAUACUGAUGGAUGGACCCGCGGUGCAUGAGCUCGUUGGUGAGGUAACGGCUCACCAAGGCCACGAUGCAUAGCCGACCUGAGAGUGUGAUCGGCCACACUGGGACUGAGACACGGCCCAGACUCCUGCGGGAGGCAGCAGUAGGGAAUCUUCGGCAAUGGACGAAAGUCUGACCGAGCCACGCCGCGUGAGUGAAGAAGGUUUUCGGAUCGUAAAGCUCUGUUGUUAGAGAAGCGGUAUCUAACCAGAAAGCCACGGCUAGCUACGUGCCAGCAGCCGCGGUAAUAC